rnacentral:rRNA from 1 species
GUCUUUUUGAAAUAAAUUUAAAGUCUGACCUGCCCACUGAAAAAUUUUAAAGGGCCGCGGUAUUUUGACCGUGCAAAGGUAGCAUAAUCAUUAGUUUUUUAAUUGAAAGCUUGUAUGAAUGGUUGGACGAAAUAUUUACUGUCUCAUAAAAAUUUGUAUUAGAAAUUAAUUUUUUUGUUAAAAAGCAAAAAUUAUAUUAAAGGACGAGAAGACCCUAUAGAGCUUUAUAAUUUUAUUAUUUAAUUUUUUAAGGAAAUUUAAAAUUUUAUAAAAACAAUUAUUUUGUUGGGGUGACAAUAAAAUUUAUAAAACUUUUAUUAUAAAUGUUACAUUGAUUAAUGAAUAUUUGAUCCAUUAUUAAUGAUUAAAAAAUUAAGUUACCUUAGGGAUAACAGCGUAAUUUUUUUUAAGAGUUCAUAUCGACAAAAAAGAUUGCGACCUCGAUGUUGGAUUAAGAGUUAUUUUUAGGUGUAGAAGUUUAAAGUUUAGGUCUGUUCGACCUUUGAAUUCUU